AGCUCUAAUAGCGUAUAUUAAUGUUGUUGCAGUUAAAAAGCUCGUAGUUGGAUUUUGGAGUUUGACAGACGGUCUGCCAAUUGGUGUGUACUGUCUGUUGGCUCUUCUUUUCUGGGAACCUCAUCGCUCUUCAUUGAGGGGUGUUGGAACGCAGAUUUUUACUUUGAAAAAAUUAGAGUGUUCAAAGCAGGCCAACGCAUUGAAUACAUUAGCAUGGAAUAAUGGAAUAGGACUUUGGUCUUAUUUUGUUGGUUUCUAAGGCCGAGGUAAUGAUUAAUAGGGAUAGUUGGGGGCGUUUAUAUUCCAUUGUCAGAGGUGAAAUUCUUGGAUUUAUGGAAGAUAAACUACUGCGAAAGCAUUCGCCAAGGAUGUUUUCAUUAAUCAAGAACGAAAGUACGCA
rnacentral:rRNA from 1 species